CCAGACUCCUCGGGAGGCAGCAGUGGGGAAUAUUGCACAAUGGGCGGAAGCCUGAUGCAGCAACGCCGCGUGCGGGAUGACGGCCUUCGGGUUGUAAACCGCUUUCGCCUGUGACGAAGCGUGAGUGACGGUAAUGGGUAAAGAAGCACCGGCUAACUACGUGCCAGCAGCCGCGGUGAUACGUAGGGUGCGAGCGUUGUCCGGAUUUAUUGGGCGUAAAGGGCUCGUAGGUGGUUGAUCGCGUCGGAAGUGUAAUCUUGGGGCUUAACCCUGAGCGUGCUUUCGAUACGGGUUGACUUGAGGAAGGUAGGGGAGAAUGGAAUUCCUGGUGGAGCGGUGGAAUGCGCAGAUAUCAGGAGGAACACCAGUGGCGAAGGCGGUUCUCUGGGCCUUUCCUGACGCUGAGGAGCGAAAGCGUGGGGAGCGAACAGGCUUAGAUACCCUGGUAGUCCACGCUGUAAACGGUGGGUACUAGGUGUGGGGUCCAUUCCACGGGUUCCGUGCCGUAGCUAACGCUUUAAGUACCCCGCCUGGGGAGUACGGCCGCAAGGCUAAAACUCAAAGGAAUUGACGGGGCCCGCACAAG
rnacentral:rRNA from 1 species